GACGAACGCUGGCGGCGUGCCUAAUACAUGCAAGUCGAACGCAUUUUCUUUCACCGUAGCUUGCUACACCGAAAGAAAAUGAGUGGCGAACGGGUGAGUAACACGUGGGUAACCUGCCCAUCAGCGGGGGAUAACACUUGGAAACAGGUGCUAAUACCGCAUAAUUCCAUUUACCGCAUGGUAGAUGGAUGAAAGGCGCUUUUGCGUCACUGAUGGAUGGACCCGCGGUGCAUUAGCUAGUUGGUGGGGUAACGGCCUACCAAGGCUGCGAUGCAUAGCCGACCUGAGAGGGUGAUCGGCCACACUGGGACUGCGACACGGCCCAGACUCCUACGGGAGGCAGCAGUAGGGAAUCUUCGGCAAUGGACACAAGUCUGACCGAGCAACGCCGCGUGAGUGAAGAAGGUUUUCGGAUCGUAAAACUCUGUUGUUAGAGAAGAACAAGGAUGAGAGUGGAAAGUUCAUCCCUUGACGGUAUCUAACCAGAAAGCCACGGCUAACUACGUG
rnacentral:rRNA from 1 species